rnacentral:rRNA from 1 species
AUUGAACGCUGGCGGCAGGCCUAACACAUGCAAGUCGAACGAGUGGCGGACUGGUGAGUAAUGUCUGGGAAACUGCCUGAUGGAGGGUGAUAACUACUGGAAACGGUAGCUAAUACCGCAUACCAUCAGAUGUGCCCAGAUUGGAUUAGCUUGUUGGUGUGGUAACGGCUAACCAAGGCGACGAUCCCUAGCUGGUCUGAGAGGAUGACAAGCCACACUGGAACGGUGAAACGGUCCAGACUCCUACGGGAGGCAGAAGUGGGGAAGAGUGCACAAUGGGCGCAAGCCUGAUGCAGCCAUGCCGCGUGUAUGAAGAAGGCCGUCGGGUUGUAAAGUACUUUCAGCGGGGAGGCGUUAACCGCAGAUGAAGCACCGGCUAACUCCGUGCCAGCAGCCGCGGUAAUUC